rnacentral:lncRNA from 1 species
ACCAUAGCUAGUGUUCUUAAUGUUAUAUCACUAUCUUAUUUACCUCCUUUGGGUGUUUUUGAACAAGACUUGUUCAGAAGAACAGGUGAGAAGUGAGAGCAGGGAAUAACAGGACCUGAGAAUAAUUCUUUUCUGUUUUAUUUUCCCACAUUUUAUAGGUGCAUUAUAAUUAUACAUAAUGGUGGGAUUUGUUGUUACAUUUUUGUUCAUGCACAUAAUAGUUUAAUUUGGACAAUAUUGUUCCUCAGUAUUUCCCUCUUUUCCUUCCCUCCUCUCUUUCCCCCUGGUCCCUUUCCUCUAUUUUACUGGUCUCCCUUCAGUGUUCAUGAGAUUCCCCUGCCACCUUUCUUUUACUUUAUAUGACCCUCGACUUUAUGAGUUUAGCUUCUGAAAAUAAUUAUUUUUAUCAGCAAUCAUAGACACAUCGACCUAAGGGAUAUAGGCCAGAUUAGGAGGAAAUUAUGAUUGAUGCCAGGGUGGGGAAAAUGGGUAGAGGUAGAUAAUAAACCACAUUUAUUUGUCUUUUUAUUUGGUGCUUCAUGAUAUUUUGAAACCCCAAUUUUGCUAACUCUGAAUAAUAUAAUGAAUGAAUUUUAGGUUGAUUUGAAUUGUUUUAUCAUAAUAUUCUUUGAAAUGUCUCUAAAAGGGGUGAAUUUUUCAUUUCUCUGAAAGACUUAUUUACUUGGGGCAAUAGAGCCACUCAGCUCAGGUCCGGAAUACCUGCUUGAGUCAGGUAGCUUUGCUUUGUUCUGUAAAGACUAGGCGCUUCUGUCAUCCAUCCAGACACAUUGCAGAGGUCCGUCACUAGGUAAAUCAGGUGCUAACAUACAAAUGCAAACUGUGCAAGUCCAUUUCCACAGGGGGAAACAGUACAGCAUGGAAGUGGGUUAUUAAAUAAACCUUGUAUACAAAAUAUUUAAAGCAUACAAUAAUAUAUAAAGAAAAAUCAUUUGAAAGAUAGGUUUUCUGCUCAUUUCAUUCAUUAACUUAACAAAGCAACCACAGCAAAAGAGGAUAGUGUUGCAUCAAAUCAAAAGUUUGUGAAAAUUCCUGAAUUAGAAGGAAAUCUUCUAGAUAAGUGUUGUUAGGUGCAUGCCUGG